CACCCCAGGAAUUGGACAGAGAAUUCUACAGUUGCCUUCGGUCUAGAUCGUGGUGAGCCGAACAGCUCUCUGACAGACGCAGAUACUCACCUGCUUUGAUCACUGACUGUGCCCAGAAAAGUGCCUGGCUCCUAAUGCAACUGAAUAUGUAUUUGUGGAAUAAAUGAGUGUUUAUUUUAGAAAAAUCACUCUAGUAACAAUUUGGAAAAUAGACUUGAAGGGAAGAAAUCCGUGCUUUUAGAAAGUUCUCUCUGGCUAGAUGGUGCAGUGUGGAUUGGACACAGAAACCCCACAGUCUCUUGGAACACCAAACCCUGCAGGCUGUUCGAUGAGGUGAAUUCCACAUGAUUAUAGCCUAGAAGUGGCUUGGAAGCUUUCUUCACUGAGUCCGACAGACUCAGGAUCUCAUGAAUGCAGCCUCUACUGGAAGACGUUGCACAAACGCAAUGUUCCUUGGGUGCUGAAUGUAUGUGAAUUUAUGGCGCAUGUAGUUUGCAUUUUCCUAUUAAACGGGGAACAUGUAAACAGGGCAGGUCUUCACUCAAAAAAUUAUGAGACUUGCUCCAGUUUCUCCCUAACUAGAGCGUAAUUUUCUGGAAGUCAGGGCCACCUUGUGUCUCCAGAGACCAGAGGAGAGCUGAACUGAAGAGUCUGAGACAGAGCUGCAGCAAAGCCUCAGGAGCUUCCUCAGUUCUGCGCUUUUAUUAGAGAGCAAACAGCGACCACCGUGUGGGCGGAGCAGGUCAGCUGGGACUACAUCCAAAGGAAUGGCUCUGCUGCUCAAGACGUUACCAGAAUCCUAAGGUGCUGAGGGGAGGUUUCAGCAUGACUAAAAUUCGGAAAUUGCUGAGUUCAUGCAGAAGAAUGAAGACUCAAGUCCACAGGUCCAGGGCUAGCAAGAGACGAAGCCAGGGGUAGGGUCAAUGGCUUCAUAGCUGUGAGACCACUGAUACGUGCUCUUCCUUUGAAGGACGUCUUCAGCCUCAGCUGCUUUUAUCUUUUAGGUUUCUAUGGCGCA
rnacentral:lncRNA from 1 species